AGUGAACGCUGGCGGUAGGCCUAACACAUGCAAGUCGAACGACAGCAUCGUAAGAGCUUGCUCUUACGUGUGUCGAGUGUCGGACGGGUGAGUAAGACACCGGAUUCCACUUUUACGCUGGGGCUAAUAUCGGGUAACUUCCGCUAAUACCGCAUUCGACCUACUUGUAACAGCACGCGUCCUUAUGACCUUUCGCUAUUGGAUGAGCCGACGUCGGAUUAGCUAGUUGGCGAGGUAAAGGCUCACCCAGGCGACGAUCAGUAGCUGGUCUGAGAGGAGGACCAGCCAAACUGGGACUGAGACACGGCCCAGACUCCUACGGGAGGCAGCAGUGGGGAAUCUUGCGCAAUGGGCGAAAGCCUGACGCAGCCAUGCCGCGUGAAUGAUGAAGGUCUUAGGAUUGUAAAAUUCUUUCACCGGGGACGAUAAUGACGGUACCCGGAGAAGAAGCCCCGGCUAACUUCGUG
rnacentral:rRNA from 1 species